rnacentral:rRNA from 1 species
GCGCCCCGCAAGGGGAGCGGCAGACGGGAGAGUAACACGUGGGAACGUACCUUUUGGUUCGGAACAACCCAGGGAAACUUGGGCUAAUACCGGAUAAGUCCGCAAGGAGAAAGAUUUAUCGCCAAAAGAUCGGCCCGCGUCUGAUUAGCUAGUUGGUGAGGUAAUGGCUCACCAAGGCGACGAUCAGUAGCUGGUCUGAGAGGAUGAUCAGCCUCACUGGGACUGAGACACGGCCCAGACUCCUACGGGAGGCAGCAGUGGGGAAUAUUGGACAAUGGGCGCAAGCCUGAUCCAGCCAUGCCGCGUGGGUGAUGAAGGCCCUAGGGUUGUAAAGCCCUUUCGGCGGGGAAGAUAAUGACGGUACCCGCAGAAGAAGCCCCGGCUAACUUCGUGCCAGCAGCCGCG